UGGCGGCAGGCCUAACACAUGCAAGUCGAGCGGAAACGAGUUAUCUGAACCUUCGGGGAACGAUAACGGCGUCGAGCGGCGGACGGGUGAGUAAUGCCUAGGAAAUUGCCCUGAUGUGGGGGAUAACCAUUGGAAACGAUGGCUAAUACCGCAUGAUGCCUACGGGCCAAAGAGGGGGACCUUCGGGCCUCUCGCGUCAGGAUAUGCCUAGGUGGGAUUAGCUAGUUGGUGAGGUAAGGGCUCACCAAGGCGACGAUCCCUAGCUGGUCUGAGAGGAUGAUCAGCCACACUGGAACUGAGACACGGUCCAGACUCCUACGGGAGGCAGCAGUGGGGAAUAUUGCACAAUGGGCGCAAGCCUGAUGCAGCCAUGCCGCGUGUGUGAAGAAGGCCUUCGGGUUGUAAAGCACUUUCAGUCGUGAGGAAGGUAGUGUAGUUAAUAGCUGCAUUAUUUGACGUUAGCGACAGAAGAAGCACCGGCUAACU
rnacentral:rRNA from 1 species